GCGAACAAUUGACAUAUAAUAUACAAUAC
rnacentral:piRNA from 1 species